UACGAAGGGUGCAAGCGUUGUUCGGAAUCACUGGGCGUAAAGAAUGCGUAGGCGGCUUAAUAAGUCGGAAGUGAAAUCCCAGGGCUUAACCCUGGAACUGCUUUCGAAACUAUUUUGCUAGAGUCCCGGAGGGGUUAGCGGAAUUCCGAGUGUAGAGGUGAAAUUCGCAGAUAUUCGGAGGAACACCAGUGGCGAAGGCGGCUAACUGGACGGGAACUGACGCUGAGGCAUGAAAGUGUGGGGAUCAAACAGG
rnacentral:rRNA from 1 species